AGAAUCAACGCUGGCGGCGUGCUUAACACAUGCAAGUCGAGCGGAAAGGCCCUUCGGGGUACUCGAGCGGCGAACGGGUGAGUAACACGUAGAGCAACCUGCCCUUAGCUCUGGGAUAGCUCCGGGAAACCGGAAUUAAUACCGGAUACGACCUAGGCCGACAUCGGCCAUGGUGGAAAGUUUUUCGGCUAGGGAUGGACUCGCGGCCUAUCAGCUAGUUGGUGGGGUAAAGGCCUACCAAGGCGACGACGGGUA
rnacentral:rRNA from 1 species